rnacentral:rRNA from 1 species
AUACGGAGGGUGCAAGCGUUAUUCGGAAUCACUGGGCGUAAAGGACGCGUAGGCGGGUUGGCAAGUCAGAUGUGAAAUCCUACAGCUUAACUGUAGAACUGCAUUUGAAACUGCUAACCUAGAGUAUGGGAGGGGGAGAUGGAAUUAGUGGUGCAGGGGUAAAAUCCGUAGAUAUCACUAGGAAUACCGAAAGCGAAGGCGAUCUCCUGGAACAUAACUGACGCUAAGGCGUGAAAGCGUGGGGAGCAAACAGGAUUAGAUACCCCAGUAGUCC